GGAAAUAGUUGGAGAAAUAUGGAAGUCAGCAUAAGACAUAUGUGGAGAGCAGAGUGUAAUCUGAUUAUUGAUUUUAGCUGGAGUUGAGAGUGGGUUAGGGAAUAUUGGGAGAGAUAAGGCUGUAAGGGUGAUUUGAGCUGGCCUGUAGAAGGCCUUAGCUGCCAGGCCUGGGUGUGUGGACUUUAUUUGGUAAAUAAAGGGCAAGUGUGGAAGAGUUUU
rnacentral:lncRNA from 1 species